rnacentral:rRNA from 1 species
UACGGAGGGUGCAAGCGUUAUCCGGAAUCACUGGGUUUAAAGGGUGCGUAGGCGGUGGCGUAAGUCAGUUGUGAAAUUCCCCGGCUUAACCGGCGGGACUGCGAUUGAUACUGCGUUACUUGAAUCAGGUUGAGGUAGGCGGAAUGUGACAUGUAGCGGUGAAAUGCUUAGAUAUGUCAUAGAACACCGAUUGCGAAGGCAGCUUGCUGGACCUGUAUUGACGCUGAGGCACGAAAGCGUGGGGAUCAAACAGG